GAUGAACGCUGGCGGCGUGUCUAACACAUGCAAGUCGAGCGAGGGUUUGCUCAGUAUUGAGUAUUCUAAGACUAGAAUGUUCAAUUCUGAGCAAAACCAAGCGGCGGACGGGUGAGUAACGCGUGGGUAACCUGCCCUAUACACAUGGAUAACAUACUGAAAAGUUUACUAAUACAUGAUAAUAUAUAUUUGCGGCAUCGCAGAUAUAUCAAAGUGUUAGCGGUAUAGGAUGGACCCGCGUCUGAUUAGCUAGUUGGUGAGAUAACUGCCCACCAAGGCGACGAUCAGUAGCCGACCUGAGAGGGUGAUCGGCCACAUUGGAACUGAGACACGGUCCAAACUCCUACGGGAGGCAGCAGUGGGGAAUAUUGCACAAUGGGCGAAAGCCUGAUGCAGCAACGCCGCGUGAACGAUGAAGGUCUUCGGAUCGUAAAGUUCUGUUGCAGGGGAAGAUAAUGACGGUACCCUGUGAGGAAGCCCCGGCUAACUACGUGCCAGCAGCCGCGGUAAUACGUAGGGGGCUAGCGUUAUCCGGAUUUACUGGGCGUAAAGGGUGCGUAGGUGGUCCUUCAAGUCGGUGGUUAAAGGCUACGGCUCAACCGUAGUAAGCCGCCGAAACUGGAGGACUUGAGUGCAGGAGAGGAAAGUGGAAUUCCCAGUGUAGCGGUGAAAUGCGUAGAUAUUGGGAGGAACACCAGUAGCGAAGGCGGCUUUCUGGACUGCAACUGACACUGAGGCACGAAAGCGUGGGUAGCAAACAGG
rnacentral:rRNA from 1 species